AGCAGUAGCCACGGUAAUACGUAGGUCCCGAGCGUUGUCCGGAUUUAUUGGGCGUAAAGCGAGCGCAGGCGGUUAGAUAAGUCUGAAGUUAAAGGCUGUGGCUUAACCAUAGUAUGCUUUGGAAACUGUUUAACUUGAGUGCAGAAGGGGAGAGUGGAAUUCCAUGUGUAGCGGUGAAAUGCGUAGAUAUAUGGAGGAACACCGGUGGCGAAAGCGGCUCUCUGGUCUGUAACUGACGCUGAGGCUCGAAAGCGUGGGGAGCAAACAGGAUUAGAUACCCCCGUAGUCCCUGUCUCUUAUACA
rnacentral:rRNA from 1 species